rnacentral:rRNA from 1 species
CACGUAGGGUGCGAGCGUUGUCCGGAAUUAUUGGGCGUAAAGAGCUCGUAGGCGGUGUGUCACGUCGGCCGUGAAAACCUGCAGCUUAACUGUGGGCGUGCGGUCGAUACGGGCAUCACUGGAGUUCGGCAGGGGAGACUGGAAUUCCUGGUGUAGCGGUGAAAUGCGCAGAUAUCGGGAGGAACACCAGUGGCGAAGGCGGCACUCUGGGCCGGAACUGACGCUGAGGAGCGAAAGCGUGGGGAGCGAACAGG